GCUUAUGCAAAAGUGUGUGCUUUCCGCUUAUGGCCGCUUUCUAGCUAUCAAGUAGAAGCUCAUUCGUAAGAUUGUAAGAAAAGAAUUGAAUUAGGACGUUCAGCUGCAAAUACCAAACUUGGAUCACAGCGAGUUCAAACAGAGAGAAGACUUCUCUUGAGUUCGUUGGCGUCCUUUAACGCGUUCAGACGUGUUUCGUCUGAAAAAUUUUUUCCUUUGUGUUUUGUUUUGGUCCUAAUAUAGCGGGGAGCAUGCAAAAGUGUGUGCUCCCCGCUUAUCAUUACAAAAUAUAACCCGCUGAUCGUGUUCCGUUAUCAAUUCUGUUUUUAAAUAUCAAUUACCCGCUGAUGGCCAAAAGUCAUCUCCCUGACUGGGUCAAAAAAAGAUUAAGAAGAAGAAGACUUCUCUUUGCUGUUCGUAACAUGGAGGCAGUAAGAAGUAUAAAGCUCUUAGAUUGAAUACGGGAAACUUUUCUUGGAGCUCAGAGUGCAGUACUAGAAAAGCUUGUAUCAUUGAUGUUGUUUACAAUGCAUGAAACAAGUACAAAUUAAAACUCUGGUGAAAAAUGUCAUCAUUGAUGCAACAUCAUUUAGACAGUGGUAUAAAAGUCAUGUGUUUCCACUGGGGUUCUACUGACAGAAGCUGAAGAAGAAGUAUUGCACAAAAAAGUUUCAAGAAAACAAGCAAAAUACAAGGCAAAUUUGCCAGGUGGAAUUGCUUUAGAACAAUUUGCAACGGAAUGUGUCCUUGGGAUAAAUAUCUUAUUUAUUUAAUAAACAUAUGUUCAUUUGUAUAUACAUAUAC